rfam:Neochlamydia sp. EPS4 DB42_DV, whole genome shotgun sequence.
GGGGGUGUCACGGUUUCGACUGGGAAGCGAGGUAUUGAUUGCAUGCGGAGGGUAUCGGUUGGCCUCCUAAAAAAGCCGGUGAACAAUUAAGUGCCAAAACAAGCACAAACGUAAUCGCUGUUGACUUUAGCCCUGUGGUUGAAGCUAACUUUGAAAUCGUAGCACGCGCUGCUUAAUUGCAGUGCUUGCGCAGUAGUCUGAAAUUGGACCAAGGAUUUUAGAGUCUACUGUUAUUUUCUUGGUAUGAGCUAAGUUUCUCCAGCCUUAGAGAAACUUAAACUCAAGAUCAAUUGAGGCGAGUAGUUUCCAGUGGUGUGUUCUGCAGCGGAAUCUACUUAUUUUCAGAACACUAAGCAUGUAGUGGUCACUAUGUAGUUUGCUCAGGACGAGAGUUCAAUUCUCUCCACCUCCAACC